rnacentral:rRNA from 1 species
AACUAACGCUGGCGGCGUGCCUAACACAUGCAAGUCGUACGAGAAAGCCGGCUUCGGCUGGUGAGUAAAGUGGCGCACGGGUGAGUAACGCGUGGAUAAUCUGCCCUUAAGUGUGGAAUAACGUACCGAAAGGUGCGCUAAUACCGCAUAAUGCCUGGCAACACAAGUUGUCCGGCCAAAGAAGGCCUCUGUUUACAAGCUUUCGCUUCAGGAUGAGUCCGCGUACCAUUAGCUUGUUGGUGGGGUAAUGGCCUACCAAGGCUGCGAUGGUUAGCUGGUCUGAGAGGAUGAUCAGCCACACUGGAACUGAGACACGGUCCAGACUCCUACGGGAGGCAGCAGUGAGGAAUAUUGCGCAAUGGGGGCGAACCCUGACGCAGCAACGCCGCGUGAGUGAGGAAGGUUUUUGGACUGUAAAGCUCUGUCGAGCGGGAAGAAGUGUACCAUGGCUAAUAUCCAUGAUAUUUGACGGUACCGCUAGAGG